rnacentral:lncRNA from 1 species
UGUUUAUUUCGUUAUAUGAAGAAACUGUUUAUAUUUACUCUCUUCUAAGAGUGAUUUUGCGUAUAUUUUUAUAUUUAAUUUUCUUGUUCUAAUGAAAUUCACCGGGAGUCUUUCUGGUUUUCAUUAGUCAAGGAUUUUAUCUGGAACAGGAGUCGACGACUACUGAAUUUUAUAUUGAGUCAUUGACUCGGAAUAUAGUUGCCGUGUAGUUGAUGUAUAAAGUGUAUAAAUGUUGAGUUA